GUGUCUCCCUGGAGCGCUAAUCCUGGCAGCUACUGAGCCCUUCUCUCUGAGGACUGGUGCCAUUUCAGGGACCCAACGCAAAAUGGAUAAUAAAACUUUAAGGAAAUCGUUCAUUGAGUUGCAAGAUGUGAAGAGAGUGCUAUAUAAAAUGGACAGAGUCCUGGGCUCCAGACCUGAUUUCUCUGUGUCUAAGCAUUUCUGUGAGUCACAGUAUGGCGGCUGAACUGGAGAUUGGAAAGCAGAACUGGCACAGAGUCCAGGUGACAAGGAUGAAGCAUGGAAGGCUGAGGAGCCCGACAUAGGGUCUGUAACCUAGUAAAUGACAACAGCAAACAGAAACGAAGGACAGGAGCAACAUGAGGAAGGCACGCGAUUGAAUUGAUACGUUUACUCCGUGAACCAUUCCGAGGACAUCUGCGGGAUGCUGCCAUCCUCCUCUUCUCUGUGGCUGGACAGGGCCGUCUGCCCUGAGGCCACAGAGUUGCCUGGUCUUGGGAGAUGCUCUCUCAGCUGCGAGUCUCCUGUGCCAGGAGCACUACCAGGCACUGUUUCUCAGGCCUCCUGAUCUCUGUUUGGUUUGCAUGUUGCUCAAAUCGGAUCCACCCUUCCAGGCUGGCCUCUUGCCUUUUUCUUAGGUCCAAGGGACCAAUGUCUGCAUACAGGUGAGGUACUUCGCUGAGUUGCUUUCAUCAUGACUGCCAGUGCUGUGUGCAGGGCUGCGAGCAAGCCACCACGCCACGCCAUGCAGCAGCACUGGCAAGAGAGUUGCAAGCACUAUAGCAAGAGCUGGGGGUGGUGACUGUGAGCUCCGUGGAAAAAGUAUCUUCAGUUGGACCUGGUGUGGACUUGGUUUGGUUUCCAAUGGCUCUAGUAAUCCCUGAGCCUAGUCUUCCAGCCAUAUCAAGCAGUGCACCUGACAUGUGAGCCAGGGCAUCUCAGACCCUGUGGACCAGCCACAUUCCAGCUGAGUACCUCUGACUAACCUCAGUUGGUACCAGAAUCUCUCAGCAAGCCCAGUCUGAACCCUGACCCAGAGAACCAUGAGCCCUAACAAAAUAGUAGUGGUUUUAAACCACAAAAUAUGGGGGUAGUUUGUUAUGCAGCAAUAGAUAACUAAAACACUAGACAUAAACGGAAGAAACUUUGCUGUCUGCUUUUGAUAAAUUUAGGACGAUUUUGUGUGAUUUACCCCAACCAUCUGUUUCUGUCCAUGAUAAUUUCAUUUUGCUCAAAAUUUGGAUCAAGUUACCUUUUAACGGAGCUAAACCUUCACCUGGGUUCACUGACAGCUUCCUGAGCCUCAGCAAAGCUUUCAGGCUCCCCAGCUGUGGCCAAGCUGGCAGUAGAGUCCCGCCUCCAGCUGCAGGCACACUCAAGCUUGCCCCAGCACCACAGCUAGCUACAUGCAGCUACCUUCCACUGUGAUUUUGCAAAAAUUGCCACAAGUUGCAACUGUGGCUGCAGAAGUUAUUUUGCAUGGGCCUGGAUAAACAAUGUACAGAUGACAUUUUCUCAGGAGCCCCACAUACCACAAAGGGCAUCUUCGUAUUUGUUGUCUUGCCUUCCUCAGAGGCAGAGUGCAUUAUUUCUACAUGGCUGUGUCCACCAUCUACAGGGAGAUCUGGAACUAAGUCAUUUUAAAAUGAAUAGGAAGUCAAUGAGAAUUGAAUAAGACCAAGCCAUUGAACUGUUUUGUUUUAGCUCUGGCUUAGGCGAAGUCCCCAGUUCCUGAAUAGUAUAGGAAGGAGAGUAGGAGUGGGUAGUGCCCUCAGGAUCAAGUAAGUACCAGAAACGUGAGUGUCAUUCUUUCAGUAUGCCAACAUGACUGGCAUGGCUUCAUAGUCAGAGGGAUGUGGGUUCAGACCUGAGCUUACUAUGUACAUAUAAGAUAUGUAUUCUGAGCUUUAGUUUCUCAUUAGUCAAAUGGGUAAACCUUCCCUCAGUCAACCUCACAGGCAAUAUGAGGAUGUCUUAUUUGGGGCUUGAUAGAAGCAGACCCUGAGACAAGGCUAAGUGCAGGUGGUUUAUCAGGAAGAGGAGGGAUCAAAGGUGGCAGAGUGGGCACUGACAAGGAAAGGAUGACAACCAGCAAGAAGUUCAUUAUCAAGCCAGUUACCACGGUGGAAAUUGCAGCUUCAUCCCAAGGAAGAAUCUCCGCAAAGGUGUAGACUUGAUGAUUACUAUUCCCAUUUUACAGAUGAGGAAAUGGAAGUACAGUGAGAUAUUAGACAUCUUUUUCCAAGGUCGCAGUGCUAUCAAGUGGCAGAAUCAGAAUUUAAUCCAGGUUGCUGCCAUAAAAUAAUGAAAACACACACACAUGUAUUUCUCUAAAUUCACUGUAGAGCAUGGUGUCCAUGUCAUAAAUUAUUUUUUUUUCCCUUUCUGUACCAGCAUUCAACAAAGCAAAUAUUUGUAUAUGGCCAUUUGGAAAUUGGUAUUGAUAAAUAUACUAUUAUCAGCUUUAAAAACUUUAAUUAUAUAAUCCAGUUAUAUCAAAUUUUUAGCACAUCCAAGAGAUUGAUAGUAUACUGGUAGCUCUGGAGGGUAAUUGGGGAAUGGGUUUCACUGCUAAGGGCUACAGAGCUUCCUUUUUGCAGUGAGAAAAAAUAUUCUAAAAUAUGGAUGGUGAUGUUGCAGGACUUUGAAAAUACAAAAAAAAAUGUUGAAUUAUACAUUUGAAAAGUAUGUGAUGCUUUUUUUGAUAUUUGAAUUUUAUCUCAAUAAAUUUGG